GUUUAUGAACAACAAUAAUAAAUUAGACUGUCAACAAGAAGACAGCAAAGCUAGCAAAAGGUCUUGAGUCCAUGUGAGAUGAGGAUGAGGGUAUUGAGGCCCAGAGAGGUUAGGUGAAUUCCCUCAGCUCAGACAUGAGGAUAUCCUAAAAAUACUUGACGUCACCUGGCAGGUGGAAGAAAGACAGGCAGAGGAGGAAUGACUCCUUUUUAGAAGAUCACUGAGUCAUUGUCUGUUCCUGUGGAAUAGCCAAUACAAGAACUCUUUUGACAUUGACAGAGUGCCCAAGCACUGAAUCACACAUGAUCAACAGGAUCAUCAAGGGAGUUCACCAUUCUCAAAGCACCCAUUAGCUGAGCUAACACAUGUGGUCACCUGAAAGCAAUCAGGAAAACUUUGCACAUUUUAUGUUCCUGCAGGUAAAUGCAAAGAAGCUAUUAAUAGAAUUAGAAAGGCAUGAAUUUUAAUUACUAUAUGUAAA